rnacentral:rRNA from 1 species
AGUGGCGGACGGGUGAGUAACGCGUGGGUAACCUGCCUCAUACAGGGGGAUAACAGUUAGAAAUGACUGUUAAUACCGCAUAAGACCACAGAGCCGCAUGGCUCGGUGGGAAAAACUCCGGUGGUAUGAGAUGGACCCGCGUCUGAUUAGGUAGUUGGUGGGGUAACGGCCUACCAAGCCAACGAUCAGUAGCCGACCUGAGAGGGUGACCGGCCACAUUGGGACUGAGACACGGCCCAA